AUCAUGGUUAUCCUCCAAUAAGCUAGGACCUCUAUCUCAGUCAAUGGUAGACAUGAAGGUUUCUUCUCUUGUUCUAGAGGUGUCAAGCAGGGGGGCCCCCUGCCCCUUCUUCUUUUCUGCCUUGCAAAGGAAGUGCUUAGUAGAGGCAUUACUAAGCUUGUCAGCUAUGAUAAUCUCAAGCUGAUCAAAGGUAUCCCUAUUUUCAAAGGAAGACCCAAGACCAUUCAUUUUCAGCCUAUGAUGGACAAAAUCAAGAUUAACCUAGCUGCUUGGAAGGCUUCUUUGCUGACUUUUGCUGGAGCUGAACAAGUGUAUUCAAAGCUUCCUUUAGAGUGGCGACCUGAACAGCAGGAAGUAGUUAUUGU